GGAGGGAUGGCAGAGCGGUUGAAUGCACCGGUCUUGAAAACCGGCGAAGGUGCGAGCCUUCCCAGGGUUCGAAUCCCUGUCCCUCCG
rnacentral:tRNA from 1 species